rnacentral:rRNA from 1 species
CAGCAGCCGCGGUAAUACGAAGGGUGCAAGCGUUAAUCGGAAUUACUGGGCGUAAAGAGCUCGUAGGCGGUUUGUCGCGUCUGCUGUGAAAACGCGAGGCUCAACCUCGCGCCUGCAGUGGGUACGGGCAGACUAGAGUGUGGUAGGGGAGAUUGGAAUUCCUGGUGUAGCGGUGGAAUGCGCAGAUAUCAGGAGGAACACCGAUGGCGAAGGCAGAUCUCUGGGCCGAUACUGACGCUGAGGAGCGAAAGCGUGGGGAGCAAACAGGAUUAGAUACCCGCGUAGUCCCUGUCUCUUAUAC